UGGGGAAUAUUGCACAAUGGGCGGAAGCCUGAUGCAGCAACGCCGCGUGCGGGAUGACGGCCUUCGGGUUGUAAACCGCUUUCGCCUGUGACGAAGCGUGAGUGACGGUAAUGGGUAAAGAAGCACCGGCUAACUACGUGCCAGCAGCCGCGGUGAUACGUAGGGUGCGCGCGUUGUCCGGAUUUAUUGGGCGUAAAGGGCUCGUAGGUGGUUGAUCGCGUCGGAAGUGUAAUCUUGGGGCUUAACCCUGAGCGUGCUUUCGAUACGGGUUGACUUGAGGAAGGUAGGGGAGAAUGGAAUUCCUGGUGGAGCGGUGGAAUGCGCAGAUAUCAGGAGGAACACCAGUGGCGAAGGCGGUUCUCUGGGCCUUUCCUGACGCUGAGGAGCGAAAGCGUGGGGAGCGAACA
rnacentral:rRNA from 1 species